rnacentral:rRNA from 1 species
UCCKACSUCAGAUCGAACGAGWAUACCCGCCGAAYUUAAGCAUAUUAAUAAACGGAGGAAAAGAAACUAACGAGGAUUCCUAC